UUUACCCUGCCUAUGCGCGUGAUUAGAAACUAUGUCCUUGAACCGUAGUAAAUAAGCCAAGGGACUCAAACUGUGGCCGUGGCCGACAUGCCUUUACUGGAAGUCGAAAGCAGCCCGGUCAGUCCCACCUGUUUCUAAUAAGUUCAAAGGAACUGUUACACACGGCACUGGCGGGGUUCUU
rnacentral:other from 1 species